CAUCUCCAUCCUUCUCAUACAAAGCUUCCAUUUUCCCACACAAUCUUAAGCUUUCUUUACUCACUAUCUCGGUUAUGGUUCAAAACUCCAUCUUCGACACCAACAUUGUCUUCCGACAUUAAAUCCGGUAAUCGUCGGGUCUGAUUCAUCGGGCCUAACCGUAGCUGCAAGCUUGAAACGUGAAGAGGUGUCGUUCAUAAUCCUCUAGCGAGCUUACUACAUUUCUUUUCUAUAGCAAAACAUAGCCUACGAUCGCCUAAACCUCCAUCUCUCUAAACAUUUUUUCCAAUUUCCCAAUCUCCCCUUUUCCCGGGAAACUUCCCCGAGUACCCUAUCAAGUAACAGGUUAUUCAAUACCUUUAGUCUUACACAACCAACUACGAUACCAACCUUAAGUUCCACGAGACGCUCCAGCCACCGACAUACGAUGAGAAUGCAGGUGGCUUGUGGUGGCUUCGGGAGAGAAAGCUCUAAAACAAAGCACUUCCCUUGGUAAUACAUCUCUUCGUAUUUCGGUGAGUGGACUGUUCCGUUGAGCUUGGGGUUGAUAUCGAAAAUGGUUGCGUAGGACUCAAGGUAUUGAAUAAACUGAAACUUGGUAGGAUACUUGGGGAAAUUCUCAGGGAGGGGAUUAUUACGUAAUUGGCAAUGUUUAGGGAGAUGAAGUUUGAGGCGAUCGUAGGUUUUGUUUUGCCAUAAAGAAGCAAUGCAAUUAGCUCGCUCGAGGAUUAUGAACGGUACUCAUUCGCGUUUUACCAUGCAUCCACGGCUAGGCCCGAUGGGCCAGCUCCGAGAUUCUGGUCGAUCUGUCCUCUGUAACUUUUGUUUUUUUUGUCAACAUGUGUAAUACUGUAUGUGUUUUUCAUGGAAAAAAAAUGAAAGAAAAAAUCCAAAUUAACAUAA